UACGAAGGGGGAGCUAGCGUUGCUCGGAAUUACUGGGCGUAAAGGGCGCGUAGGCGGACAGUUUAGUCAGAGGUGAAAGCCCAGGCUCAACCUUGGAAUUGCCUUUGAUACUGGCUGUCUUGAGUUCGGGAGAGGUGAGUGGAAUGCCGAGUGUAGAGGUGAAAUUCGUAGAUAUUCGGCGGAACACCAGUGGCGAAGGCGACUCACUGGCCCGAUACUGACGCUGAGGCGCGAAAGCGUGGGGAGGCAAACAGG
rnacentral:rRNA from 1 species